CCAAUAGUCUGUUGAGUGUUUUUCAUAGAAUGAGGAGCUUGUCAUGCAACAUGCUGUAGAGAGGAUCUCAGAGUGAUUGCAGAUCCUUACCAUCCUUCUUGAUGAGCUUGAUUGUAUGAUCUAUACCAGGUUCUCAGUGAGGAGGAAGCUUUUCAGCUUCUUUUUCAUCAAACACAUCUGCAAAGUCUUCAUACAAUUUGGGUAGUUCCUUGUGCAGUUUCUUGAGGUCUUUGAGUUCUAGCUUUUCUAACACUUUUUUGAUAUCCACCAUGCUAGCAGCAAACACUUGGAUGUUCUUCUUCUCAUGCACUUGACAGGUUAGUAGUUUGUACACUUCCACUGAUAUCUGGGUGAGAUCAGCAGUCCUAUCAACAUCCUUCUCAUAAACACAGUCAUCUUCUGGGAAAAUAAGACAGUGAUUGCAUGCAUCCAACAAGGUUCCAAAUUCUGUGAGUCAUGAUAGACUGAGCAUUAGAUUGUACUCAAGGUCUUGUAUUUUGUAUGUGUAUACAUUCUUUUUCUCAUGUCCUCCUACAUCAACAUUAAAUCUUACCAUGUUGUAGGAGGCGGAUCCUCUGAGGCCAUCAAAUCCACUGAGCUUACACAGUUUGAGAAAGAAGAUACACUGGAGCUUAUGCUUCUCAACCAGCUGGG
rnacentral:sRNA from 1 species